rnacentral:rRNA from 2 species
AUUGAACGCUGGCGGCAGGCCUAACACAUGCAAGUCGAGCGGCAGCGGGAAAGUAGCUUGCUACUUUUGCCGGCGAGCGGCGGACGGGUGAGUAAUGCCUGGGAAAUUGCCCAGUCGAGGGGGAUAACAGUUGGAAACGACUGCUAAUACCGCAUACGCCCUACGGGGGAAAGCAGGGGACCUUCGGGCCUUGCGCGAUUGGAUAUGCCCAGGUGGGAUUAGCUUGUUGGUGAGGUAAUGGCUCACCAAGGCGACGAUCCCUAGCUGGUCUGAGAGGAUGAUCAGCCACACUGGAACUGAGACACGGUCCAGACUCCUACGGGAGGCAGCAGUGGGGAAUAUUGCACAAUGGGGGAAACCCUGAUGCAGCCAUGCCGCGUGUGUGAAGAAGGCCUUCGGGUUGUAAAGCACUUUCAGCGAGGAGGAAAGGUUGGUAGCUAAUAACUGCCAACUGUGACGUUACUCGCAGAAGAAGCA